CGAACCGCAGAUAACAGUGGAAGUGUCUUGCUUUGUUCGUGUUUCGUAAUUUAAUUUUUCAAGUAGUGCAAGUAAAUAUAGUGUGCGUCGUAGGCUAGAUUUGUGCGUCUAAAAUCAAUCUAGGCCAGCCGACGGCUAUAUCUCUUCCAAGCGCCAGGUCAGCGGAAACCCCGGGACGAGAGACCCCGGCAGCCUUCAACUUGUCCGGUAGGAAGCGAUCCGUCAGCAAAUCGCUUCAGUGGGGAAUUGUGGUCGUCAAUUGCCACCAUCGACCAAACCGCCAUUCGUCGACACGUGGAAGUCGCCAACCACCAUUCAUUGGCCCACGUGGCGAUCAUCAAUCGCCAACCGACAUCAGCGGUAACAGCAGCGCAGGUACAGCAGCAGCAGUAACCAUCUGGUGAGUCCGGACCAAUUAUUCUUGAGUAAAGUGUGGCGUCCGCUGAGGACGCCACGGAGAAGUUUUUUGUGCCAACCGUAGGUUGAAGAGCGUGAAUCGCUGAACAUUCAAACGUUUGGAUGAAUUGAGGUUGGGUGUCGGCGAGAUACAAAUCGUGCGCACGUAUCGUAAUUUAUGGCCGCCCACCCAACCCAUUCAAUGUAGACACCCGGGUGCAACAGCAUUAGCCGUUACGUUGCUGCAUCGUCGUCGCAUCACUGGGAAUGAAGACAUGAAAAACAAACACAAAAGCACAGAUAGAGUAGUUGAAACGCACACAGAUAGAAUAGGAUAGGUAAAGAGGAGAGAAAGUAAAUUAAUAUAAACAAGCAUGCUUGAUGAAAUAAAAUCUUACCGUUAAAUGUUGAAUAAACCUUUAUUGUAA